GUGGAUAGUCAUUAGUGCGUAUAAAUAACUGUGUGUGGGUGAAUGAGUGGUUAUGCGUACGUGUGUGUGUGUGUGUGUGUGUGUGUGUGUGUGUGUGUGUAUACUGUAAAUGUUCUUCGGUGACGAUAAAUAGAACCAAAAGUAUUUUGAUGAUUAUCAUGAUAUGGGAUAUGGGCCAGAUCUUCUAACGUACUAACUAAACCCACAGCCUGGCAUUGUUCUACUAAAUAGAACCUGGAAACUUGUGACUAAGAAAGAAAACAGAGGUAUUAAGCUCUGUAUGAUCUAAGUGGCAUUAUGGAGAGUCUUCAAAACAAAUACCUGGGUAAUGAUGAUGCCUGCAGAAACUUUCAUGCCGAAUGUCCGAGGCAUAGCAACAAAUGCAUAGUAACAACGUACACAAGGAGGACGCUCCAGACCAGGACCCUUUAGCCCCUCCUCCCUUUUGCUUCCAUAUCACCUGACUGUGUUUCAGCUUCAUGAUGCCUCUGUGACUCAUGCGUGAUGGCUGGAAACAAACUCAGCUAGUGGAACAAGUCGGCCCCAGUCAGAGACGCUGGGACUUUCCAGUCGAGCCAAGCUUUCGUUCAUUUGGACUGACCCGUGCAAAUAUUUCUCUGUGCAUAAAAAACAAAAAGAUCAAACCCAUACUGCACUCUUUCAUGAUUUUUGUGUUGCAUUAUUGAACUCAGAC
ensembl:lncRNA